UACGGGGGGGGCAAGCGUUAAUCGGAAUUACUGGGCGUAAAGCGUGCGUAGACGGUUAUUUAAGUCAGGUGUGAAAGCCCCGGGCUCAACCUGGGAAUUGCAUUUGAGACUGAAUAGCUAGGGUGCGGAAGAGGGAAGCGGAAUUUCCGGUGUAGCGGUGAAAUGCGUAGAUAUCGGAAGGAACACCAGUGGCGAAAGCGGCUUCCUGGUCCAGCACCGACGUUCAGGCACGAAAGCGUGGGGAGCAAACAGG
rnacentral:rRNA from 1 species